UACGAAGGGAGCUAGCGUUGUUCGGAAUCACUGGGCGUAAAGCGCACGUAGGCGGAUGUGUCAGUCAGGGGUGAAAUCCCGGAGCUCAACUUCGGAACUGCCUUUGAUACAGCACGUCUUGAGUCCGAUAGAGGUGGGUGGAAUUCCUAGUGUAGAGGUGAAAUUCGUAGAUAUUAGGAAGAACACCGGUGGCGAAGGCGGCCCACUGGAUCGGUACUGACGCUGAGGUGCGAAAGCGUGGGGAGCGAACCGG
rnacentral:rRNA from 1 species